rnacentral:misc_RNA from 1 species
GUAGGUGAACCUGCGGAAGGAUCAUUAACACGUAUCCAACGUUAAACAACCCUGUGAACUUUCAGACGCUCUUGUAGCCCAGGAGGAACAGCAAUCCCGGUAAAUCAAUGGCGGAAAGUUUUUGAUUCGGGACCUCUGUCCAAAAGGUAUCAAGUUACAAUCGAGCUAGGAGCAGUGGCAUGGUUUCCCUAAGCAGUGCAGAAGGAUCCACUGAGUAAGGAUAACGCAUCACGGUUGCCAGAGGUCGAUC